CCCGUAUAACGUUAAUGAUUACUAGAUGAUGUUUCCAAAGAGUCGUGUUGCUUGAUAGUGCAGCACUAAGUGGGUGGUAAACUCCAUCUAAAACUAAAUAUAACCAUGAGACCGAUAGUAAACAAGUACCGUGAGGGAAAGUUGAAAAGAACUCUGAAUAGAGAGUUAAACAGUACGUGAAACUGCUUAGAGGUUAAGCCCGAUGAACCUGAAUAUCCGUUAUGGAAAAUUCAUCAUUAAAAUUGUAAUAUUUAAAUAAUAUUAUGAGAAUAGUGUGCAUUUUUUCCAUAUAAGGACAUUGUAAUCUAUUAGCAUAUACCAAAUUUAUCAUAAAAUAUAACUUAUAGUUUAUUCCAAUUAAAUUGCUUGCAUUUUAACACAGAAUAAAUGUUAUUAAUUUGAUAAAGUGCUGAUAGAUUUAUAUGAUUACAGUGCGUUAAUUUUUCGGAAUUAUAUAAUGGCAUAAUUAUCAUUGAUUUUUGUGUUUAUUAUAUGCACUUGUAUGAUUAACAAUGCGAAAGAUUCAGGAUACCUUCGGGACCCGUCUUGAAACACGGACCAAGGAGUCUAACAUAUGUGCAAGUUAUUGGGAUAUAAACCUAAUAGCGUAAUUAACUUGACUAAUAAUGGGAUUAGUUUUUUAGCUAUUUAUAGCUAAUUAACACAAUCCCGGGGCGUUCUAUAUAGUUAUGUAUAAUGUAUAUUUAUAUUAUUUAUGCCUCUAACUGGAACGUACCUUGAGCAUAUAUGCUGUGACCCGAAAGAUGGUGAACUAUACUUGAUCAGGUUGAAGUCAGGGGAAACCCUGAUGGAAGACCGAAACAGUUCUGACGUGCAAAUCGAUUGUCAGAAUUGAGUAUAGGGGCGAAAGACCAAUCGAACCAUCUAGUAGCUGGUUCCUUCCGAAGUUUCCCUCAGGAUAGCUGGUGCAUUUUAAUAUUAUAUAAAAUAAUCUUAUCUGGUAAAGCGAAUGAUUAGAGGCCUUAGGGUCGAAACGAUCUUAACCUAUUCUCAAACUUUAAAUGGGUAAGAACCUUAACUUUCUUGAUAUGAAGUUCAAGGUUAUGAUAUAAUGUGCCCAGUGGGCCACUUUUGGUAAGCAGAACUGGCGCUGUGGGAUGAACCAAACGUAAUGUUACGGUGCCCAAAUUAACAACUCAUGCAGAUACCAUGAAAGGCGUUGGUUGCUUAAAACAGCAGGACGGUGAUCAUGGAAGUCGAAAUCCGCUAAGGAGUGUGUAACAACUCACCUGCCGAAGCAACUAGCCCUUAAAAUGGAUGGCGCUUAAGUUGUAUACCUAUACAUUACCGCUAAAGUAGAUGAUUUAUAUUACUUGUGAUAUAAAUUUUGAAACUUUAGUGAGUAGGAAGGUACAAUGGUAUGCGUAGAAGUGUUUGGCGUAAGCCUGCAUGGAGCUGCCAUUGGUACAGAUCUUGGUGGUAGUAGCAAAUAAUCGAAUGAGACCUUGGAGGACUGAAGUGGAGAAGGGUUUCGUGUGAACAGUGGUUGAUCACGAGUUAGUCGGUCCUAAGUUCAAGGCGAAAGCCGAAAAUUUUCAAGUAAAACAAAAAUGCCUAACUAUAUAAACAAAGCGAAUUAUAAUACACUUGAAUAAUUUUGAACGAAAGGGAAUACGGUUCCAAUUCCGUAACCUGUUGAGUAUCCGUUUGUUAAUUAAAUAUGGGCCUCGUGCUCAUCCUGGCAACAGGAACGACCAUAAAGAAGCCGUCGAGAGAUAUCGGAAGAGUUUUCUUUUCUGUUUUAUAGCCGUACUACCAUGGAAGUCUUUCGCAGAGAGAUUAUGGUAGAAUGGGCUAGAAGAGCAUGACAUAUACUGUUGUGUCGAUAUUUUCUCCUCGGACCUUGAAAAUUUAUGGUGGGGACACGCAAACUUCUCAACAGGCCGUACCAAUAUCCGCAGCUGGUCUCCAAGGUGAAGAGUCCUCUAGUCGAUAGAAUAAUGUAGGUAAGGGAAGUCGGCAAAUUAGAUCCGUAACUUCGGGAUAAGGAUUGGCUCUGAAGAUUGAGAUAGUCGGGCUUGAUUGGGAAACAAUAACAUGGUUUAUGUGCUCGUUCUGGGUAAAUAGAGUUUCUAGCAUUUAUGUUAGUUACUUGUUCCCCGGAUAGUUUAGUUACGUAGCCAAUUGUGGAACUUUCUUGCUAAAAUUUUUAAGAAUACUAUUUGGGUUAAACCAAUUAGUUCUUAUUAAUUAUAACGAUUAUCAAUUAACAAUCAAUUCAGAACUGGCACGGACUUGGGGAAUCCGACUGUCUAAUUAAAACAAAGCAUUGUGAUGGCCCUAGCGGGUGUUGACACAAUGUGAUUUCUGCCCAGUGCUCCUGGAAUGUCAAAGUGAAGAAAUUCAAGUAAGCGCGGGUCAACGGCGGGAGUAACUAUGACUCUUCUUUAAGGGGGAUCAUGGGUAUUUGAGAGCAGAGGGGGAGUAUUCUUCUGUAAUUCGUAAGUCAUAUCAUAUGAUGUGCGGAAGGGGAAUUUUACUCUGUAACUCACAAGUCUCUCCUUUACUCAAGUCGACUCAAAACCUCCUCGUGGUGGUCCCCGGUAAUGCUAAACUCGUUAGCAGCUAAUUUGAGCGGCAAAACUUUUCCGAUGGCUGGUUCCCCAGAGGAAAUUUUAUUCAUAUUGGAACUACAAGCACAAAUAACGAGCCUCGGAUACCUUUACACAAUCUGAUGACGACCCGACCCUCCGUGGAUAUCUUCCGGAGGACCAAUAUGAACCAAACGCCAGCGGCUACUCUAUCUAGGGUUCCCUGCACAGUAUGUGGCCGGUCCUUUAACAGCAAGAGAGGACUCGGUGUUCACAUGCGAUCUCGGCACCCAGACGAACUUGAUGAAGAACGUCGACGUGUCGAUAUAAAGGCAAGAUGGAGUGAUGAAGAGAAGUGGAUGAUGGCGAGAAAGGAGGUUGAGCUCACAGCAAAUGGAUGUAAACACAUAAACAAGCAACUAGCGGUGUAUUUUGCAAACCGCAGCGUCGAAGCCAUUCAA
rnacentral:rRNA from 1 species